GUAGUAUUCCCUCCGUCCCAAAAUUCUUGUCUUACAUUUGUUUAGAUACGGAUGUAUCUAACACUAAAACGUAACUAGAUACAUCCGUAUUUAGACAAAUUUAAGACAAGAAUUUUGGGAUGGAGGGAGUACAAA
rnacentral:pre_miRNA from 1 species